UGCGGUCUGUUUCAAUACACUAAUCUGGAAACAUUAUCGAAACAAUAUUAACCAGUUCAUCAUUUAAUCUUGCUUAGAUAUGAAGGGCAUGAGGAUGUGGUAACACAUGACUGUUAAAAUUGUACUGAUUUAAUACUUUUUUUAUUUUUAUUUUUUUCUCCAUAUAGCCUAUCUUAGGUGGUGUCUGUCACAGUGAAGUUGGUGGCAGUUGGAAAAGAGGUCACCAAAACUGUAUUGGCCACCAGGGUACCAGAUUACUGUCUUACCCAGGCAGACCAACUCAGCAGCAGCCGCAGCCUUUCGUCCCACUACACCUCCUCCCUCACUGCUGCUUCAUUGAUAAGAAGCUUUCUUAGUAGACUGGACCAAAAUCCUUCUGAGACGAAUAUAGACAACUGUUUGGUGCCAGUCGCUCAAUCGCUUCCUCACAAACCAAUGACAUCACCACAGCACGCACUGCUGUCCUGCAAUGUCUGCCCCUGUAUCUUGGAGAUAAUUCCAGUGAAUUCUUCCUCAGCUGCUCAGAUUCGGACUCUGCAUGUGACUUCACCCAGGUGCCUGUUGGGGUUCUUAGAAUCAUGGCUGAGGACACGCCACCCUUGAUUGACAGCAUUGCAAUCAUCCUUGAAGGAAACAUUGUCAUGGAUGAGAUUCCCACAACCUCUCAAGCACUCUGUCUUCUGUUCGACUUAAUGUAUGCACGCCAUCUGGAUUACCCCAAAGUUUAGGGGAUUGCUGCAACACUGUUAUGCUUUGAAGAUCCAGAGAUGUCCUGUGGACUAAGAAACUUCACCCAACUCUUCACCGGUUAGUAUACCACAAGCUGCUGAAAUUCAGGGAGACAAAGACACAAACGUCUUCAAAAGUCAGGCCCGAGGCAGCGCAUUCAGAGCCACCUGCCUUAAUGAGAGUGGGUACAUUCCUCUUGGGUUCACCUCCCUAUCUGUCUGCUGAAAUGUGCCAACCAGACAUCUUCCCACCCCGACGCCCAGUCUGGACUGCACAGUUUUCUCACGUACACCUCACACACUGCAGAAAGAGAGGUGUGAAAUACAGAAGAGCAUCACCUGACUAGUGCUGAGCAGCAUUAGCACAUUCUUCAAGGUUCAAGGGUUUAUAAUAUGUGUGCACAUCUUACAUGCCAGUGCCAGAGCAGCAGAAUCUUGCACUUCACAUACCACGUAACCAGAAUGUGUGAUAUCGCUAUGACAAGAAGGGGGGGUUUAAGAGAAACAGAGGAAGCACUGUUAAUCUUAUUUGAUCUGAAUUUCUCACACAGACAGGAGGAAGGAGACGGGUGUUCCUGGUAAAUACCAAAACCACUUCUAA